AUCUAGCCGAUGGGUUUCAAAUAGUACGAAACACGUGUCCUGGAU
rnacentral:hammerhead_ribozyme from 1 species